rnacentral:rRNA from 1 species
ACCCGCUGAACUUAAGCAUAUCAAUAAGCGGAGGAAAAGAAACCAACAGGGAUUGCCCUAGUAACGGCGAGUGAAGCGGCAACAGCUCAAAUUUGAAAUCUGGCUCUUUUAGAGUCCGAGUUGUAAUUUGCAGAGGGCGCUUUGGCUUUGGCAGCGGUCCAAGUUCCUUGGAACAGGACGUCACAGAGGGUGAGAAUCCCGUACGUGGUCGCUGGCUAUUGCCGUGUAAAGCCCCUUCGACGAGUCGAGUUGUUUGGGAAUGCAGCUCUAAAUGGGAGGUACAUUUCUUCUAAAGCUAAAUAUUGGCCAGAGACCGAUAGCGCACAAGUAGAGUGAUCGAAAGAUGAAAAGCACUUUGGAAAGAGAGUCAAACAGCACGUGAAAUUGUUGAAAGGGAAGCGCUUGCAGCCAGACUUGCAUGCAGUUGCUCAUCCGGGCUUUUGCCCGGUGCACUCUUCUGUAGGCAGGCCAGCAUCAGUUUGGGCGGUAGGAUAAAGGUCUCUGUCACGUACCUCUCUUCGGGGAGGCCUUAUAGGGGAGACGACAUACUACCAGCCUGGACUGAGGUCCGCGCAUCUGCUAGGAUGCUGGCGUAAUGGCUGU